rnacentral:rRNA from 1 species
UACGUAGGGUGCGAGCGUUAAUCGGAAUUACUGGGCGUAAAGCGUGCGCAGGCGGUUUGCUAAGACCGAUGUGAAAUCCCCGGGCUUAACCUGGGAACUGCAUUGGUGACUGGCAGGCUAGAGUAUGGCAGAGGGGGGGUAGAAUUCCACGUGUAGCGUGAAAUGCGUAGAGAUGUGGAGGAAUACCGGAUGGCCGAAGGCAGCC